rnacentral:rRNA from 1 species
GUGGGGAAUUUUGCGCAAUGGGGGAAACCCUGACGCAGCAACGCCGCGUGGGUGAUGAAGGUCUUCGGAUUGUAAAACCCUGUCGUCGGGGACGAAGGUGGGCUCGUGAACAGCGAGUUUGCUUGACGGUACCCGGAGAGGAAGCCCCGGCUAACUCUGUGCCAGCAGCCGCGGUAAUACAGAGGGGGCAAGCGUUAUUCGGAAUUAUUGGGCGUAAAGGGCGCGUAGGCGGUGAUUCAAGUCGGAUGUGUAAUCCCCGGGCUCAACCUGGGAACUGCAUCCGAGACUGUGUUGCUAGAGUGCUGGAGAGGGUGGUGGAAUUCCUCGUGUAGCGGUGAAAUGCGUAGAGAUGAGGAGGAACACCAGUGGCGAAGGCGGCCACCUGGACAGUAACUGACGCUGAGGCGCGAAAGUGUGGGGAGCAAACAGGAUUAGAUACCCUUGUAGUCC